CUUGGUGAUUUGAGCGCUGUGGUACCACCUAAUUCCAUUCCGAACUUAGAAGUGAAACGCAGCAGCGCCGACGAUAGCUACCCGGCAACGGGUCGUGAAAAUAGGUCAUUGCCAUGC
rnacentral:rRNA from 2 species